UAUGGCGGCGUGUGACGAUUUGAAGUGAUUCUUUGCUCAUUUUUAUUUUCAAUAUUAAUAAGGUGUUUUGUUCAAUAAAUAUUUGUACAAUCGAGUGAAACAUGUGUUAUGUGAUUCUUAACAAUUUCGUGUGAUUGAAAACUUGAUAUCAUGCGAUAUAAAAUGAAAAAUAGGAUGUAAAAUUCAUUCGCGUCGUUUCAAGAUAUCUUUUUUAUCGUGUGUGGAACACGUUCUCUGUUUUAAAAUUCCUAUUCUACGAAUGUGAAAUGAAUACACGAUAAAAUGAAAACAAGAAAGAUUACACGUGCAAUAAGGAACGAGAAAGAGGAAGAAGGAUCAUAAACAGAGCCGCGGAAAGGGAACAGAGGCUCGGAAAAUAAGCUGAGAACCCAUUCAAAUCCAACAACAACGCAAGAAACGCAAACGAAACAAGGGAGAAAUGUAUCGAACCUAAGAGGCAAGAAAUAUGUACCAAUCUAUCAGGGAAGCAAAAAAUUGGAACGCGACCAAGAAUUAGCAAGAACAGAGCAGACGAGAAAGCGGAAGAAAAUUCGUGGGAAGAAAGGGGAGAGAGGAGCGGUUCUGUCGCGCGAGUUUUUAUGCGGUUGGCGCGAUGGAGAAUUCGAGUCGAGAAUUUUUAACGCUUUUUUGAAUGUCGAUGGCAUAUUGUGGCGUGAACACGAUUUGCUUUUAUGGAAUAAUAUAUACGAUCGAAAUGCACGUAAUAUAGAUGAAUUUCUACGACUACACUUCUUGUCUCGAUUAUAAAUUAACACGUGAUAUUCAUUUUAUCAAAUUUUAUUCAAUAUUAAAUGUAUCAUUUCAAAACAUAUAAAAAUUCUAAAUCAGAUCCAAAGAGAUACAAAGACGAAGAAACAUCGUAUGAAUCGAGAAGAGAGCACCGAAUUAAUUCCACCCCUUUAUCAACAUCCUCGAAGAAACAAUAAGCGCGAGAAUUUAAUCGCACAUCGGUGAACAACGAUUCUUCGAUGUUCUACGGGAAGAGGGAAUGGACGUUGAAUUAACUUCACCCUGAAGAGAGAAAGAGAGGAAAUCAAAAUCUCGGCACGAAGAUCCUUGAAAGACACUCGGCCGUUAACGCCUCUCGGAACUCCGACAGUCGACAGUCCGAAGAAACAUCGCGGAAGUCCGAGAUCCUGCUUAAAACUUUCCCUUCUGCUUCGAGAACCGGAUCGGGGAAUUUCCAUUGGGGGUUGAAUUUUUCAUCGGGAACAAAAGGAUCUGGUCUCCCCGGGUUUAACGAAUUAGCGGAUUUUCGUUGUCCAAUCUCCGCGUCUCGGGCCGGAAAUGUUACGUGAGCCGCCGAAUUAUCCACGUUCGAAUGCCGUAAUUAUCAAUUAGCAUGCGUAUCGAUAUCGUGUUGCAGCAAAUAAUCCAAAAUGAAUUUAAUCAGCGAAAUGACGAGGCGUGGAAGAUGGCAAGGAGGGAAGGGAUUUAUGAAUGUUCGAUCGAUAAGAUUUUCGAAGAAACAAGCUUUCGAGAUUGAAAUCAGUCCUCGAAUUUCAUCAUUAUCGAUACCAAGAAAAUAAAAAAUUCAUCAAGUAUGAAAUUAUCUACGACUUUAUAAAUACAACAUAUUUGCUACCUCGUUUUUCUCAUUUCAUUUCUUUAUUCUUUUUGCCGAUUUAAUUAAGACGUCUUGCAAAAUGAAAACACAUUUUUCAGUCAAAGCAAAAAUCUUUUAAUUACUACAUCUUUUAAACGAUGUUUGAUCCAUCGUAAAGAUAUGUUCUUGAAGAGGAAUCUCGUUUAAAUAUCUCCGGAUACCAUUACUUUUUUUUUUCCUUAUUAAAAAUUACAAGGGAAAUGCGUAUUUUCUUAUUAUUUAUUUAUCAUUUAAUUUAAAAUUUAUUAUUUUGUCCUUCUUCGUAACGUAUUAUGAAAUUUUAUUUGUGAAAAGAAGAAAAUGUGAAAAUUUUUAAGGUCGAGUUUACUAUCUUCUCCGUAUAUUUCUCGCGGAAUUAUUCUAAAAUUAUUCUUGGUGUACUUUGUUAUGUUUUAUAUACGAAUGAAACCACGUCGAAAUUAGAAUAUUUUUAUAAAAAAUUGGACAAGAACCUUUUUUAAAAAUUUAAAGAUAAUAUUUUCAAUGCUGAGUUUUCCCCUUGCAAAACUUUUGAUAUUUUUAUUCCAAUAUCUAAUAUUAUCGAAUAACAAUUCGUUGAUUGAUAAAUAUUAAUGAAAAAUCGAAUAAAUCACAAAUUAUUUACAUCAAAUAGAACAAUCAUUAUAAAAUAUACAAAAAUUUAUAAGUAAAAAACUAAUUUACUUUGCCAAACUAUUCAACUUAUUAAAUUUCGCUAAUAAUAUUAUCCCAAUUAUCCCAAGAGGACUUUGAAAUUCUAAUACAUUCAAAAUUCCAUUGAAAUUUCAACUUACGAUAUCCUAUUUACAUCUACAACAUUUAUUGAACCCACAUAGGCACAAUUUAUAGUGUCAAAUCAUUAUCCAUGAAACGCCAUUCAAUUCUUCAACCCCUCUCCAAAGAUCCGCUGGUACCACGAUUAUGUGGGUCCUUUUCAUUAACAGGCCACGUGCAAUCCCUUCUUGGAAAAGAAUAGAAGAAAUCGAACGAGAGUCACAUGAUUGUGGGUUAUGAAAUUCGCAUGUCACACUUACAAAUUAAAAAAAACAGCUGUCUACCAUUACUUCAACCCUCGUACACGAAUCUCCAUUCUAUAUUGUAUACAUCAUAAUACACUUUAUUAAGGAAGGAAGACACUGUAUCAACGCAUUCUGAUCUCGAGCACCUCGUAAUUGCUAUUUACGACAAUCAAUCAUCUUCUUUUCUAUACUCGAUCUCCGUCUUAAUUCCACAGACUAAGAAUAACAAUCUAUUUUGCUUUUUCCUCUUUCUCUUCAUCUUUGCUCAAUUUUGUUUCGUAUCAAUUAGAUUUUCUCUCCUACUAAAUCGAAUUUUUCUGCGAUGAUAAAUUAAAGAAAAUAGGUAUUAAGAUUUUUUUUUUUUUAAAUGGAAUCGAUAAAUCGAGCCAUCUUUCAGAUAUCGAUAUUCGAAGUAUCUAUAUAUACGUGUUCAUAUUAAAACCGAGAAACUUCCAACCAUUUCCAUUAAGAGACCCCGUUUCGUUUUCAUCGAAAUCGAGGCGAGAUUAAUCCCGCCGAUUAUUGUGUACCAAAUGGAUAUUACAUCGAGCAGGAAUAUUUAACUUAUUCAGAAUGUUCCUACAGCUCGAUGAACUUAAUUUAUUAAACGAUGGGUGGCAUCGACGCGAGAUACUUUCACGGAGACUUAUCGUCGCGGAUUAAAAAAAGAAAAAAAGCGAUACGGGAUAAUCCGAAAUAAUGGAUUAAUCGUGCUAAGUGAACGUAAACUCGAAACCUGCUCAUUUCUCGAGGAACCAUCUUCGAAAUGCGAUUAGUUCGUGAUGGAGAACUAUAAAAAACUUCAAUCGACGAAAAGAAUUUUUUAUGAUGAAAUUUAAGAUCGAGUGAUAAUAGGAAGAGAGAGAGAAAGAAAAUUUAAGAUUUAUUGGUCGAAUUUUUCCAAAGAUAUUGGAAAGCUAUAAAUCUUGAAAUUUGAAUUAAGAUAUUCGAUAGAUUAAUAAAAAAUUUUAUAUAAUAUAUAAAUAGAAAAAAGAAGUGAUAAAGAGAAGAGCAAAAGCAAAAGAGAGAAAAAAAAGAUUAGUGAUUUCUAAAUCACACUGAAGAUCACAUCAUCAAAGAGUGCUCGAGAUCUCUUGCCAAGAUUGACCUCGUGACAUAGGCUGCGUCAUAAUCCACUCUGGUUCUAAUCGUGGCGAUUUCGCGAAGAAGACUGUACUUGACACCCAGCUCGACAAAUUAAUUAUGCAUUCUAUCAAGAGGAGCAAGAAAGCAAGCGAACGAGCGGAGAAUGGCGAAUUGGAGGAAGAGGGAAAAGGAGGACAAAGAAAAAAAGGAAAAUAAAAAGAAGCUGUCGAAAGGAUCCGAAGUUGGUUUUCAACGCUUCUUUUGCGGUUGAAAAUCGUGUUAUUCGAAGAAGUUAAACGAGGAUGAAUAACAUUUUAAUUGCCUCGAUCAAAUUAGACGUUUGCUCAACGUAGCGAGUUGAACGGUAAAAGUGGUGUGUGUGGUGUUCGAGUUUAUGGUGUUGUGUUGCGUGUUUAAAUUUUCUGCGGAGAAUGCAUGUUUAUGGAACUAUUUUGGUUUGGCUGGCUUCAACUGGUUAAUUUGGGUAAAAUGGAGGAAUUUUACGAGGAUGCAUAAGUUAGUAGGUGUUGGAGAAUUUAUGCGUUCUGAAAGCCGCAUUAAUUAAGAAACAGCAAGGGGUUCCUUACGUGAUGUGGACCAGCGCAAAGAUGAAACAGCCCGGUGUUUUCAAUCAAAAACAAAUCAUCCCGAGAAGGCGUAAUUAAAUUUGAAAUAACUGAAGGGCGCAGAGCCACUUAUAUGCGGCCAUGGUUGAAUUUGAAUGCGAUGCACGAGUCUUGAAACGUGACUUGUUUGCGGGGAAAGUAUUCCAUGGCGCCGGAAGUUAAUUACAGCGUUAAGGGACAUUCUUUGUAAAUCGGAUCAAAGCUCGAAUUCGGUAAUCCAAAAGUUGCGG